CUUGUGAUUGUGAUUGCUAUAUGCAAAGGAGAGUGUACGCGUAUGUGUGUGUCUAAAUAAGGAAGGACAACGCAUAGCUAAGACCCAUUUUGAUUUUUGUUUCCACACCUCAUUCCGAAUGCUAGCUAAAUAGGGAAAUACUCACCAUUGUGGAAAAUAAGCAGACUGGCCGAAAGACUGUCUUAAGGUGUACCUGAAAUCGAAAGCGGACUUGAAGUGGAGGAAACCCCUGUCGCAUUUUGAGUAUAGCAUGCUUCGACACAGUACGGUUUGCGAUGACUUCCGAUGGAAAACUGGACCAUACCGUUCGGCCGACUGGCUGCUAUCAAUGAUAGCAGCCGACCGCUAGCAUGAGAUGAGCGGUACGAGAUUCGAAAAUGGCGAGGGAAAAUAAAAUCGAUGUCGUUGUCGGUUCUGUUGUUUGUCCAAAAUAACGAAUGAGAAUAAGGGACCUUUCUCUGGUCCUGUUUUUUCGGAGUUGAUUUGGGGAGACGGUAGAGCUGAGGUGGUAGCAAAAGUUAAUAGCAUGGAAAUGAGUGAUAGAGAGGAUCGGCGGUAAGCUUGGUGUGUAAAUGAAGAAGGUGCAAAAUUAAGAAAAAUACAUUUAACUUUGCGUACCAACGGGGCGAACUUA